rnacentral:rRNA from 1 species
UACGUAGGGGGCAAGCGUUGUCCGGAAUUAUUGGGCGUAAAGCGCGCGCAGGCGGUUCGGUAAGUCUGGUGUAUAAGCUCAGGGCUCAACUCUGGGAGGCACUGGAAAUUGUCGGACUGGAGUGCAGGAGAGGAAAGUGGAAUUCCACGUGUAGCGGUGAAAUGCGUAGAGAUGUGGAGGAACACCAGUGGCGAAGGCGACUCUUUGGCCUAUAACUGACGCUGAGGCGCGAAAGCGUGGGGAGCAAACAGG